GAAGCUGACCAGACAGUCGCCGCUUCGUCGUCGUCCCCUUCGGGGGAGACGGGCGGAGGGGAGGAAAGUCCGGGCUCCAUAGGGCAGGGUGCCAGGUAACGCCUGGGGGGGAAACCCACGACCAGUACGGCCCGUACUGAACCCGGGUAGGCUGCUUGAGCCAGUGAGCGAUUGCUGGCCUAGAUGAAUGACUGUCCACGACAGAACCCGGCUUAUCGGUCAGCUUCAACU
rnacentral:RNase_P_RNA from 1 species